rnacentral:lncRNA from 1 species
CAGGAGUCCCCGUGGGCCCAGUAAUGAGACAGCAGAGAACAAAGGAAAGUGAGGACAUGGAAAGGGAAAGGCCAGGCCCUGGGUUCAUGGAUCCACCACACCUGAUGGACUUUGCAAUUCCCGGGCUUUCUGAUAAAGGAAAUUUGCAUAAAGAAACUACAGACCUUCUGAUGCUUGAGCCAAGUAAUCAGCAGACUUGGGGACCCUGCUGGGGGUGAGGUGGCUCCACCCUCUCC